CGGAUUACAAGUUAUGACCCGGUCAUCACUAUGUUUAUAUCGCUACUGUGUCAUGUUUACUUAACAAACAGAAAACAUGCUCCGUGUUUCUAUCACGUUACAGGAACACGAGGCGACGUUUGGGAGAGAAAUGCUGAGAAUGCUGUGGGAACACAAGCCCAUACGCGAGUAUUUACACAGUUUUUUCGAGUUCUCCUAAAUUUUUACUAGUGUUUCUAUAACUCGAUAGAAACAUGUAACAUACUUUCAAUUUCGUGAUGAAAAAUCACUGUUAUCGCUACCUUAUGUUGUGGGAUUGUGCGUACCUAGUGCGUACCUACAGAUAUCCGGGAGCUUCGUGACCGAGAGCAUGCCAACUCGGCGAGAGAGAGGGACGAACGUGGCGAGAUGGCGGAAAGAUUGAUUACCUUUGAACAUAUUUAAGUAAAGUUCAAUGUUAGAAACACCUUUCACAUGUCACAGUUCUUUAGUGAGUUUUUAACGCUCGACUCGUUUUGUUACAAGACAAGGAAGGAAAGUAUGCAAGCAAAGUUAAGGCGCUGUGGUCGAACUUUUGUGCUGCCAUGCUGCCAUGCUGCCAUGCUGCCAUGCUGCCAUGCUGCCAUGCUGCCAUGCUUACAAAACCAGCAAAACCCAGAAACAGAUUUAAGUUCAAACUGGUGAGCUUAGACGCUCAACUUCAAUGUUCUGCAUGAGUUAUCGUUUUUGGCGUUGUUAUGUUUCUGGCUGGUUCUAUUGUAGCAGCAUUCAAAUUGCUUUUCUUUUGUACGUGCUGUGUUUGAAGAGGACAACGGCGAGUGAAAACAGGAGUUAGACUAAUCCUAUCAGAUGCCAUACAGAUAUGAACAGCAAAAGAUCAUUUGAUUGACUAGGAAAGAUGGUCUGGACAGUCGGAAGAUCACUGUAAGGAUUGCCAAGCAUAGGUGAGAAAAGCUGGAAGUCAGUAAAAACUACCAGGGAAAGAAGGACAACUUCAGGAUGAUGUUUCAUUAUGAGAUCAGUUGAUGUGUGAAACACACUAAGCUAUAGAGCAAUACAAGCCAGUGUAGAUUGUGUGCAUUAUGUUGUCCACAGCAUUGCAAGAAUACUAGCAGUACUACUUGGUUCCAUUGUCCUCGGUGUUCAGUUUGUGCAUGAUGGGAUCCACAGCAUCAUAAGAAUACCAGCAGAAAUCUACCGUUACCUUUGCUUAUUGCUUCGAAAAAGUAUCAGAAAUCAGUUUGCGGUUAUCCUGACGUUUGGAGAUGCUAUGAAACACAAAUAACCUGCUACAACAACUUGACUUGAAGCACGUGCUUCAAACAAAGAUGUCACAGUGUAUUGUCAACUUAUGGAAUUUGAAUUCUCCUCAAGGAUUUUUGGCAUUACAAGCGAGACAGCGAAAGGAUAAGGACAGAGACGAGCACAGAGGUACUGAAGUUGGCGAGCGACGGCAAUAAAGACACUGGAGACAGACACUGGAGACAGACACUGGAGACAGACACUGGAGGAAACAAUAAGGACAAAACAUUGAAGAUAACACAACGCAAAGUAGGAUAGAUAGAUAAGAUCGCUAGUGUUUUCUUUUCUCGGAUAAGUAAGAACAAGAAGGCAGACUUCGAAACACAGGAGGACGUUCGUUUUAGUUUCAAACAAGUUUAUUUUCGCUCUGUUUUGCGGCUCGUAAAAUUUAUUUACUGAUUCCAAUUGUCUUGUUUGAUACACGAGCCCAAGUCUCCAAAGUGUAAUCUACCAAGUUCGUAAGGUUUUCGAGUAAUAAACGUUUUUCUCACAGGAAACUCGUACACUGUGUAACUGGAAUAAGUUUGUAACUAACAGUUUUCUUCGCUCUUUAACGCUUUUGUUUGAAAUUUGACGGAGAUUCAAGAUCCUCGAUUGUCUAAUUUUAUCAAGAAGAUUUCUUGCUUCAAAACCGCAACAAAACGUUUGAUUUUAAUUUUUAAUUCAGCUUCUUAACUUGCUUAUCACAGCCACACAGUGUUGGUUUCUCGGAGGCAACUUGUGAAGAUUUUGCUUCUUCGUUUGAUUUCGUAUCAAAACUGUUCAGAAAGUCGAGUUAGCUAUCCAAUUUGAAAUGUUUCCCUGUAAACUUUUUUUGACUAAGAGCUGGUGCAAGUUAGUGUUUCAUGAAAGCUUUCAAUAUCAUUGUAAUUUUUUUGAAGUAACUAUUACUCGUGAAGACCCAUGUCAAAAUUUUUAAUUUUCCCGCCGAAAAAAUACGGGGGCUUAAAAUACGCAUGCGCCAUUUUUUUUUUA